rnacentral:rRNA from 1 species
UACGUAGGGUGCGAGCGUUAAUCGGAAUUACUGGGCGUAAAGUGUGCGCAGGCGGCCGCGCAAGUCGAGUGUGAAAUCCCCGAGCUUAACUUGGGAAUUGCGCUCGAAACUACGUGGCUGGAGUGUGGCAGAGGAAGGUGGAAUUCCACGUGUAGCGGUGAAAUGCGUAGAGAUGUGGAGGAACACCGAUGGCGAAGGCAGCCUGCUGGGCAGUUGCUGACACUGAGGCGCGACAGCGUGGGGAGCAAACAGG